GUUUGAGGUCUGGGCCUGGGCUCAGCGGGUUUCAGCUGCUGCUCAGAUGCCUUCUGCAGAGGGGACGCGUCCCCUCCUCCACCCAUGAGUGUGUUCGCAUGUGGGGCACUGCUCCCAGCUGAGACCAGGGUUUGGCUCUGGUGACUAUUUUUAGGUGGUUUUUCCUCUGUGUCUCAUCCCCAGCUCUCGGCUGCUGUGCCUUAGAGAUGUUCCCAUUCCUCCCUCACAGCAGCGGCCCUGCGGUUUCAGGGGAGAGCGGGGACGUGUCCCCAGGGACGGACUCCUGCUUGCUCCCAAGGGGCACCUUGGCAGGGCGGACGUUGAAAGCUGAAUGCAGAGGAAGCAUCUGGAAGCGGAGCUCUUGGCCUCAGCCCCCCUGUGCUGGGACAGGCUCUUCCACGAGUGAGAUGAUGUCCAGCUGAGCUCGGCGCUGGGCACCCGGGGACGGCACUCGGCUCUGCGGCUCUUGUUACUGUGGUUGUGGCUGUUGUCACUGUGACG
rnacentral:lncRNA from 1 species